rnacentral:lncRNA from 1 species
GGCCUCCCAAAGUGCUGGGAUUACAGGCGUGAGCCACCGCACCCGGCCUAUGUAAAAGCCUUUUAUAGUUUAGAGCGCACUUUCAGACCUAUUAUCUUAUUUGAUUCUCAUGGCAACUUAAUAAGGUAGAAAGAGAGUAAGCAUCAUCAUCUACAUUUUACAGUUACAGGGAUCACCUGUGUAUUUGCUGGUGGCUGUCUAAUAAACAUGUGGGUGUGGAGGAAAUAGAUUUUUAAACAUCUGAAUGUUAUAGAGUUUCUGCUUAGGUAUGAAGAGAAUCUAUUAUCUUGAUUAGAUAUCAAUUCAAAACAAAUGUUGAAUACCAGCUGUUGUAUUCUCAACAUUUUAGAAUUCAACUUUAAAUGAAAUCUUCAAAAAAGCAAGUCCAAGAAAAACCUCAUAGUAAUAUUUGUGUCUCAUUCACUACCAUCACCAAACAAUAUUGAUUGCAGUACCUGAAGAAAUCAUUAGGCACCAUAUGACACUGAUGUCUAUUUAGAGUGUUUUUUAUUCUGUAUUGGAAAAUAAAGCACAUUACCUAAAUGAUUCAAAUGGCAAGAAAAAAAUUUAUCCCUAAAAGCCAUCUGUGAAUUAGCAUAUGGGCUUCUGGAACCCAACAUCUUGAUUCUAUAUGUGAGUCAGGAGGAAAAAAAAAAAAAAGAAAGAAUGAAAGGAAGAAAA